rnacentral:rRNA from 1 species
UACGUAGGUGGCGAGCGUUGUCCGGAUUUACUGGGUGUAAAGGAUGCGUAGGCGGAUGUUCAAGUCAGAUGUGAAAAUCCCGGGCUUAACUUGGGAAUUGCAUUUGAAACUGGAUAUCUGGAGUGCAGGAGAGGUGAGCGGAAUUCCUAGUGUAGCGGUGAAAUGCGUAGAUAUUAGGAAGAACACCGGUGGCGAAGGCGGCUCACUGGACUGUAACUGACGCUGAGGCAUGAAAGCGUGGGUAGCAAACAGGAUUAGAUACC